AUGAACAUCGAACAAGGCAGAAACUGCACUAUCAAGCUACCAACUAAGCUAGUACUUGCCAAUAGACUGCAGGCGGUCAUAAUGGAGCUUGUUUGUAUUAAUCAGUAUAUGGCUGGCUUUAUUAAAUCCAGGGCCAUUCAGGACUGCAUUGCUUGGGCUUAUGGGUAUCUUUUCCAAUGUCACAAAGCAAGCUGCCUACUGUUGUACUUAAAAAUUGACUUUGAAAAAGCUUUUGACGAGCUUGAACAUGGAAUGAUCUUAGCUAUUUUGAGCGAGAAGGGGUUUGGUACCAAUUGGUGUUCAUGGAUAGAACAAAGUUUAUCUAUAGCUACAUGGUGUUGGAAUUAUGUGUCCGGCAACUAUAUUCAAAUUGCUUGGAAUUGUUAA
rnacentral:rRNA from 1 species